GGUGCAUUGCACCCCCUGGCAUAAUUUAGAAAUAUUUUAAGUGGCACAAAACACACACAGCAUUUAGUUUGCGCAGCGGAGCGGAGACGCUCACCGGGCUAUCACGCAUAUAACUUUGCCUAGGCAAUAUUUGUCAAUUUAGCCUACUCUGGUUUUGAAUAUAGGGCACUCGUGCAAAGGAAAUCACCGGCAGAUUGUCGCAGGACAUUACGCAGAUCUUGUCAAGCACUGACAAAGCAUGCAUGCGCAAUGCACAUCAUAGGCCUGAUUUCUUCAAUGCAAUGCCAUUUUGGAUAGUGUUGUGUGUGUCUUGCUGGAAACAAGAGGUAGGCUAAUCAGCGAAUGUUGCAUUUGUUUCACCAACUUUAUUAGGAGACGGGCAAACACCUGCCUCUGCGCUUUCGGAACAGUUGGCUGUCGGACUAAUGAGUUUUGUGUUGUCGGGGUAUAUAUACAAAUUAGCAUAUUUUCGGAAUACCGAGUUCUCGGAAUACUGGGCUUUCGGAACAUUGACAUGGCACCCCUGCUCCCCAGAUGGAUUGAAAGGCUUCCUGUUCACACAACGAAUGUUAUGAAAAUGAUGUCGCAGUCGUUUCAACAGGCUGGGCGGGGCCGAAAUUAGUCGCCGACCGGGAAAUAGAUGUAAUGCGAAGAGACAGUAAGUCGAUUUGGAUACAGUGAAGACAGAACUGAAUGCACUCAGCUGCCUUUCGACUGAGAUUUCCACCAUUUUAUCCCAACUGAAUUAAGUGCUGAAAGUUCUGAGUUGUGGUUUUAAGUCAAUGUUUAGGAAGUCCUCAUUAUAACCAUGUUCAUCUAUCACAGGCCACCUCUAUAGUAUCAAGUAUAGCCUUGUGGUGUUAGUUUGUUGUGGUUUUAAAUAGGUGAACUGAAUGUCAUUUAACUAUAUCAUCAGUGUACUAUUUAGUUGAGGACAGGGUAGUUUUGCUGGAUUUGAUGUGACUUAACAGUGAGACAACUCUUCUAAAGUACUGGUAAUGAUUUGCAGUGAAAGCCAACACUUUCACUCCUUCUUCAACACAUACGCAAAUUGACAGAGCACGCAUGGUUGUUGGUCAGUUUGAAUAUGUACUGCUACCUUGAGUGCAGCUUUCAUGAGGCUUUAGAUUGGUUUAGAAUGGUUCAAAGGCACGAGCACGUGACAUUAAAUGUUUUUUGUCCUUUUUGAACGAUCAAAAAUACGGGACCUCAUGCAUGGAUGUUGCAUACUUACCUUUCAUGCUCAUGGUCAGAUGUAUCAGUGUAUCAUCAGACUGUGACUCAAGGUGAAUUUAUGGUGAAUCAUGCUGGUGCAAGGUCUCCAGGGUUUUCUGUAUUUUCCCAAAAUUUCUGAGUAAGAGUGAGGUUGACGGUGUCACCACAACCACUGUCACUGAGAGAGUUUCCCUGAAUGCAAUACUUAAGCAAUAAGGUACGAGAGGCAGUACUGUAUCGUCCAUAAUGUACUGUUUAAGGGUGUUGUUAGGCCCGACGCAUAGCGUCAAACCCUUGAACAGUACAUUAUUGACGAUACAGUACUGCCUCGAGUACCUUAUUGCUUUUAUAAUACGGUUCAAAGUUCAAAGUACUUUAUUUGUCAUUGUCACAAAAACAACGAGACAGUAGAGGCAGCAACAGACAGCUAAAAAUUAAAAUUGCUGUGGCAGUUAAUGUGUAGCACUGAGGUUUAAGUCCUGAAGUUUGGAGAUGAGUUUGCCUGGAAGGAUCGUAUUGAAAGCAGAACUGUAGUCUAUAAAUAGAAUACGGAUGUACAGUAAGUGUUCUUUAGCUCCAGGUGCUCCAGUGCAGUGUGAAGCAGCAGGGCUACUGCAUCCUCUGUAGAUCUGUUCGCUUUGUAGGCAAAUUGGUGUUGGUCAAAGGAAGCUGGUGUGAUGCCUCUUCAUGACCAGCCUUUCCAAACAUUUAGCAGGUAUGGGGGUGAGAGCCACUGGCCUAUAGUCGUUCAGGCAUGUGACCGCAGUCUUUUUUGGCACAGGUAUGAUGGUUGAUGCUUUGAAACAUGGGGG
ensembl:lncRNA